rnacentral:siRNA from 1 species
CUGUGCUGCGAACUGAAGUCU